CCAGACCGCCAGCUAAGGUCCCAAAGUCAUGGUUAAGUGGGAAACGAUGUGGGAAGGCCCAGACAGCCAGGAUGUUGGCUUAGAAGCAGCCAUCAUUUAAAGAAAGCGUAAUAGCUCACUGGUCGAGUCGGCCUGCGCGGAAGAUGUAACGGGGCUAAACCAUGCACCGAAGCUGCGGCAGCGACACUAUGUGUUGUUGGGUAGGGGAGCGUUCUGUAAGCCUGUGAAGGUGGCCUGUGAGGGUUGCUGGAGGUAUCAGAAGUGCGAAUGCUGACAUAAGUAACGAUAAAGCGGGUGAAAAGCCCGCUCGCCGGAAGACCAAGGGUUCCUGUCCAACGUUAAUCGGGGCAGGGUGAGUCGACCCCUAAGGCGAGGCCGAAAGGCGUAGUCGAUGGGAAACAGGUUAAUAUUCCUGUACUUGGUGUUACUGCGAAGGGG
rnacentral:rRNA from 1 species